rnacentral:lncRNA from 1 species
CUUACACAUCUCUUCAGAAUCCCUGCUUCCUACAUUAUAAUCUUGGGAUUUAAUACAUGUUUUUCAUUCAGGUUAUUAUCAAUAUCAGAUUUAUCUGACUAUGCAUGAACACAGCCACAGAUUCAGGGAAAAAGAUGUAUCUUUCAGCGCUGAAGAGAAUAAAAAUUAAUAAUCCUCAGAGACUUUCAAACUGAAGUGGGCAGGGAAGGGUGGAAAGAACCGAUCUCAUUCUAUGAAGAGCAUGCAGGGAUUUUCACAGAGCAUGUAGUGCUGAGUACAGCACACCAGGCACCCGGGGACACCCAGAGAGCAGCCUUUCCUCAACACAAGAGGAGUGAGCACCGCACAGAGCUGCAGAAAGGGAAUCCCAGAUGGGGUAACAGCAGAUACAAAGACCCCACGGCAGGCCCUGGCCUGGCCUGCUGGAGGAGCAGAACGGAAGCCAGUGGGUCUGGAGUAAAGGGGACCAACUUGUCCCGGUUUGCCCAGAACUUUCCUGGUUUUAACACUAGAAAUCCCAUGUCCCAGGAAACUUCUGAGUCUCAGCCAAGCUGGGAUGAUUUGCCUAGAACUUCCCCUAUUAUAAAACUGAGAGGUCUGUGCCCCAUCAUCCGCCUCAGUCCUAAGCAAGCUGAGGCAGUGGGUCGCCCUAGACUGGAGCAACGUGCAUGAUGGUGGGAAGAGCCAGUGACUCUCUUUCAUGUCCUCUCUGCCCUCGAUCUCAGGAGUCACCCAGGUGGGCACUGGCAUCCAGGAUGAAAACUUCCCAGCACCCCAGCAGUGGCCACGUGACCAGGCAGUGGCCAAUGCACAUGAGGCCAGUGCACAGCAACUGCCAUUAGAGGAAGGAAGAUUUGUGUCCUCUUGUUCUCUUCUCCCCUCCCUGCUGGCUGGUAGUAGAUAGGAUGGACACUGUGGGGGAAGCUACACCCUAAAGAAGUCAAAGCAGCAAGAUGGAAGUACCCUAAGACCCUGAAAAAUGCACAGAGAAGAAUCACCCGACUGGCUUGAACUUUCAUGUGAAAGGAAUGAACCUCUGUCUUAGUAAAGCCACCGUGAUUCAGGGUCCUUGUGAUAUUCACUGAGGCUGUAACAUAAUUGUUGAAAGAACAGGAGCGGGAGGGGAGAUGGAGUCGGAGAGGCAGGCAGAGGUCAGAUCACAUGGGGCCUGUAGGCCAAGGCGGAGGAAGAAACAGGUGACAUAGGACUCAAGGACCCCACCUGCUCCCAGGCGAAGGGAGUUUGCUGUGGGUGCCCCUCCCUGUCUGUGUGUCCAGUGUAUUCAUAUUCUUCAUACCUUGCCCAUAUUGGACAAAUACUUUUUUCUAUUCAAUAUUUAGAAGACAUUGCAUUAAAUAGCAAGAUGGCAGGUGAACAUCAGGAAGGAACAUUAGGAACAUCCACGGCGUUCCAUCCAGGAACCUUCACCGUGGAAACUCUUGUGCUCAUGGGCGUGGUCUCAAGACACAGUCAGCUGUUGGGGAUCAGAGGCGACACUCAUUGUAGCAGAGAGGCAGGACCAACUGGGAGAGGGUCCUUCUGUGACAACUAUUGCAUCACCGGGCUGUGUGAAGUGACUCAGCUGCCAGAACUCACACAAUAUCAUUCUACACCAAACCUCACGGGAAAAAUGCUCCACGACCCUCAGACUUAAACAGCAGCACUGGCUCCUCCCCAGAUCUCCAGCUCCCUGACCCUCAAACUCCAACUCCAACACCAGCUCUGCCCCAGGUCUCCAGCUCCACAAUCCUCAAACUACAACAGCAGCACCAGCUCCCCUGGGGAUCUCCAGCUCAAUGACUCUCAGACUUGGGAGGCAGCUCCAGCUCCCACCAAGCCUCCAGCUCCACAACCUUCAAACUAGAACAGCAGCACCAGCUACUCCCUGGGUCUCCAGCUCCCUCAAAAUUCAACUAUAGCACUGGCUGUUCCCCAGCGCCACCAGCUCCACAACCCUCAACUUACACGGUGGUAGCACCAGCUCCUCCCUAGGUCUCCAGCUACACGACCGUCAAACUUGAACUGCAACACCAGCUCCUCUUCGGCCUCCAGCUCCACAAUCCUCCAACAACAACAGCAACACCGGCUCCUCCCUGAAUCUCCAGCUCAACAACCCUCAGACUUGAGAGGCAGCACCGGCACCUCCCCAAGGCUCCAGCUCCAUGACCCUCAGAUUUGAACAGCGGUAGCACCAGCUCCUGUCCAGGUCUCCAGCUUCAUGAUCCUUAAACUAGAACAGCAGCACCACCACCUCCCUAGGUUUCCAGCUCCACGACCCUAAGACAUGAAUGGCAGGACCGGGUUCCCCGCUAGGGCUCCAGCUCCAAGACCCACAGAUAUAAACGGCAGCACCGGCUCUUCCUGGGAUCUCCAGCUCCACAGCCUUCAAACACGAUCAGCAGCACCAGCUCCCCUCUGGUUCUCCAGCUCCACAAUCCUCAGACAUGAACAGCAGCACAGGCUCCUCCUUGGGUCUCCAGCUUCUCUACCCUCAGACUAGAACAGCAACACUUGUUCCUCCCUGGGUCUCCAGCUCUUACAAGUCUCAGACUUGAAAGGCAGCACUGGCUCCUCAGAAAGUUUCUGGCUCCAAGCUGGUGCUGCUGUCCUAGUUUGAAGGUCAUGGAGCUGGAGACCCGGGGAGGAACCAUUUGAACAGCAGCACUGGCCCCUCCCCGGGUCUCAGGCUCCACGACCCUCAGACUUAAAAAGCCGUAGUACGGGCUUCUCCCUGGGUCUCCAUCUCUACAACCCUCAGACAUGAACAGCAGCAGCACCGCCCCCUCCCCCUGUCUCCAGUUCCACGAACCUCAAACUACAACAGCAGUACCGGCCUCUCCCCAGGUCUCCAGAUCCACGACCCUCAAAAUAGAAUGGCAUCACCGGCUCCUCCCUGGGUCUCCAGCUCCCAAACUCUCAAACUUCAAUUGACACACCGGACCCUCCCCACAGUUAAACAGCAGCACGGGCUGUUCCCCAAAGCUCCAGAUCCACGACCCUCUGACUUAAAGGGCGAUAGCACCAACUCCUCCCUAAGUCUCCAGUUCCACGACCCUCAAACUACACAGCAGCACCGGCUCCUCCUUGGGUCUCCAGCUUCACUACACUCAGACUAGAAUAGCAACACCGGUUCCUCCCUGGAACUCCAGCUCAAUGACUCUCAGACUUGAAAGGCAGCACCAGCUCCUCAAAAAGGUUCUGGCUCCAAGACCCUCGAACUAGAAUAGCAGCAGCUGCUGCAUCUUGGGUCUCCAGCUCCACAACCCUCAAAGUAGAAAAGCAGCCCUGGCUCCUCCCCGAGUCUCCAACUCCUCAAGUCUGAGGGUUGUAGAGCUGGAGACCCGGGGAGGAGUCAGUGCUGCUGUUCUAGUUUGAGGGUCAUGGAUCUGGAGACCCAGGGUGGAGCCGGUGCUGCUGUUCUAGUGUGAGGGUCAUGGAGCUGGAAGACCCCGGGAGGAGCUGCUGCUGCUGUUCUAGUGUGAGGGUCAUGGAGCUGGAAGACCCCGGGAGGAGCUGCUGCUGCUGUCCUAGUUUGAAGGUCAUGGAGCUGGAGACCCCGGAAUGAGCCAUUUGAACAGCAGCACUGGCCCCUCCCCAGGUCUCAGGCUCCACGACCCUCAGACUUAAAAAGCCGUAGUACGGGCUUCUCCCUGGGUCUCCAGCUCUACAACCCUCAGACAUGAACAGCAGCACCGGCUCCUCCCCCUGUCUCCAGUUCCACGAACCUCAAACUACAACAGCAGUACCGGCCUCUCCCCAGGUCUCCAGAUCCAUGACCCUCAAAAUAGAAUGGCAUCAUCAGCUCCUCCCUGGGUCUCCAGCUCCCAAACCCUCAAACUUCAACUAACACAGCAGAUCCUCCCCACAGUUAAACAGCAGCACGGGCUGUUCCCCAAAGCUCCAGAUACACGACCCUCAGUAGCACUGGCUCCUCCCAAGGUCUCCAGUUCCAUGACCCUCAAACUACACAGCAGCACCGGCUCCUCCCCAGGUCUAUAGCUCCACCACCCUCACACUAGACAUCAAGACUACCUCCUUCCCGCUCUCCAGCUACACGACCCUCAAACUUGAACAGCAGCAGCAGCUCCUCCCUAGAUUUCCAGCUCCAUGACCCUAAACCUGCAACAGCAGCACCAGCUCCUCCCUGUACCUCAAGCCCCAUGACCCUCUGACUUGAUCAACAGCAACAGCAGCUCCCUCCCUGGUCUCCAGCUCCACAACCUUCAGCCUUAAACAGCAGCAGCACCAGCUCCUCCCUGGGUCUCCAGCUCCACAACCCUCAGACUAGAACCGCACCCCUCCUCCCUGAGUCUCCAGCUCCAUGACCGUCAAACUACAACAGCAACACAGGUUCCUGUCUGGAUCUCCAGCUCAGCAACUCUCAGAUGAGGCAGCACCGGCAACUCACCAAGGCUCCAGCUCCACAACCCUCAGAUUUGAAUAAUGGUAGCACCAGCUCCUGUCCAGAUCUCCAGCUUCAUGAUCCUUAAACUAGAACAGCAGCACCGCUGCCUCCCUGGGUUUCCAGCUCCACGACCCUAAGACAUGAAUGGCAGAACCGGCUUCCCACAAGGGUUCCAGCUCCAGGACCCACAGAUUUAAAUGGCAGCACUGGCUCUUCCCAGGAUUUCCAGCUCCACUACCCUCAAACUAGAAGAGGAGCACCGGCUCCUCCCUGGGUCUCCAGCUCCCAAACCCUCAGACAUCACCUGACACACUGGAUCCUCCCCACAGUUACAUAGCAGCACGGGCUGUCCCCGAAAACUCGAGAUCCACAACCCUCUGACUUCAAUGGCGGUAGUACUGGUUCCUCCCUAGGUCUCCAGUUCCAUGACCCUCAAACUACACAGCAGCACCAGCUCCUCCCCAGGUCUACAGCUCCACCACCCUCACACUAGACACCAGGACUACCUCCUCCCCGCUCUCCAGCUACACGACCCGCAGAUUUGAACAGCAGCAGCGUCUCCUCCCUGUACCUCAAGCCCCAUAACCCUCAUAUAUGAACAACAGCAAUACCAGCUAAUGCCUAGGGCUCCAGCUCCAGGAUCCACAGAUUUAAACUGCAGCACCAGCUCGUCCAAGGAUCUCCAGCUCCACCACCCUCAGACUAGAACAAGACCUCUACUCCCUGGGUCGCGAGCUUCCGGACCCUCGAACUAUGAAAACAUUGCUCCUCCCUGGGUCCGCAGCUCCACGACCCUCAAACCAGAUCAAGAUCUCUCCUCCCUGUGUCGUCAGCUUCCUGACCCUUGAACUAUGACAACAUUGCUCCUCCCUGGGUCAGCAGCUCCACAACCCUCAAACCAGAUCAAGAUCUCUCCUCCCUGGGUCGCCAGCUUCCUGACCCUCGAACAACAGAAACAUUACUCCUCCCUGGGUCAGCAGCUCCAUGAUCCUCAAACUAGAAUGAGACCUCUCCUCCCUGCGUCGCCAGCUUCUGGACCCUUGAACUAUGAAAAUAUUGCUCCUCCCUGGGUCGGGAGCUCCAUGACCCUCAAACUAGAACAAGACCUCUCCUCCCUAGGUCUGCAGCUUCCAGUCCCUCAAAUAACAACAUUGCUCCUCCCUGGAUCUGCAGCUCCACGACCCUCAGACUAGAACACGAUCUGUCCUCCCUGGGUCACCAGCUUCCGAACCUUCGAACUAAAACAACAUUGCUCCUCCCUGGGUCUGCAGCUCCACGACCCUCAAACUAGAAAAAGACCUCUCCUCACUGUGUCGCCAGCUUCUGGACCCUCGAACUACAAAAACAUUGCUCCUGCCUGGGUCUGCAGCUCCACGACCCUCAAUCCAGAUCAAGAUCUCUCCUCCCUGUGUCAUCAGCUUCCUGACCCUCGAACUAUGACAGCAUUGCUCCUCCCUGGGCGCACCCUCAAACUAGAACAAGACCUCUCCACCCUGCGUCGCCAGUUUCCGGAGCCUCAAACUAAAACAACCUUGCUCCUCCCUGGGUCUGCAGCUCCACAACCCUCAAACUAGAACCAGACCUCUCCUCCCUGUGUUGCCAGCUUCCUGACCCUUGAACUAUGGAAACAUGGCUCCUCCCUAGGUCUGCAGCUCCACGACCCUCAAACUAAAACAAGAUCUCUCCUCCCUGGGUCUGCAGCUCCACGACCCUCAAACUAAAACAAGAUCUCUCCUCCCUGUGUCAUCAGCUUCCAGUCCCUCAAAUAACAACAUUGCUCCUCCCUGGGUCUGCAGCUCCACGACCCUCAAACUAAAACAAGACCUCUCCUCUCUAGGUCUGCAGCUUCCAGUCCCUCAAAUAACAACAUUGCUCCUCCCUGGAUCUGCAGCUCCAUGACUCUCAGACUACAACAAGAUCUCUCCUCCCUGGGUCUGCAGCUUCCAGUCCCCAAAUAACAACAUUGCUCCUCCCUGGAUCUGCAGCUCCACGACCCUCAGACUAGAACAAGAUCUCUCCUCCCUGGGUCACCAGCUUCCGGACCCUGGAACUACAAAAACAUUGCUCCUCCCUGGGUCUGCAGCUCCACAACCCUCAAACUAAAACAAGAUCUCUCCUCCCUGUGUUGCCAGCUUCCGGACCCUCGAACUAUGACAACAUUGCUCCUCCCUGGGUCUGCAGCUCCACGACCCUCAAAGCAGAUCAAGAUCUCUCCUUCCUGUGUCAUCAGCUUCCUGACCCUUGAACUAUGACAACAUUGCUCCUCCCUGGGUCUGCAGCUCCAUGACUCUCAAACUAGAACAGCAGCACCAGCUCCUUCCUGGACCUCCAGGUCAAUGACUCUCAGACUUCAAAGGCAGCAGCAGCUCCACCCCCAGGCUCCAGCUCUAAAACCCUCAGAUGUGAGCAGUGGCAGCACCAGCUCCUUUCUGCGUCUCCGGCUUCAUGAUCCUUAAAUUAGAACAGCAGCGCCAUCUUCUCCCUGCGUCUCCAGCUCCAGGAACCUCAAACUGCAACAGGAGCACCUGUUCCUCUGGGAUUUUCACCUCCACGACCCUGAGGUGUCAGUGGCAGCACUGGCUCCUCCCCUGGGCUGCAGCUCCAGAACCCUCAAGAAUAAUCCCUUCUCAUGAAAUGUAGCAGUCAGGAAAACUGCAGAGGAAGUAAAUAAAUAAAUGUUUUCUUUCAAACUGAUGUUUCUUUUAUAUUCACACAAGUCAGGAAACUUUUCUACUUUCCAUCAACCUUACAAUCUACUUAUAUUCAAUUGUAAGGUGGAAAUCCACCAUUUGAAAUAACCUUUAAAAACUUAGUAACUCUCUUUUACUAUGAUUUUAUCUCACAGCUCUAGAAACGAUCUUUCACUUUGCCUGUGCAGAAGUCUUGUGAACAUUCAAACUAGAAUUUACUUGGUUGAGAUUCUAGAAUACACGUUAUCCCCAGAUGUUCCUGCCCUCCUUAAAAUCUUCUAACAUGUUCCCCUCACCCGAGCAUAAAUGCCAGGUCCUAUCCACAGCCCACAGUGCCCAGCACGGCCCUGCCCUCUGCCCUGACCUUAUGGUCUCCCCUCUGCUGUUACUUUCCUCCCAGACAGGCCUCUGUCACUUCCUGAAACCACACAGGCUCAGGCCUGACUCCGGGCCUUUGCCCCUGCUGUGCCCCCUGCGUGGAGCGCCUUUGCCCGGCUCCCCAUCCUCCUCUCCACCCGCUCAGCUCCAGCCUGCUGGC